rnacentral:rRNA from 1 species
UACGUAGGGGGCAAGCGUUGUCCGGAUUUAUUGGGCGUAAAGAGCGUGUAGGCGGCCUGACAGGUCAGCUGUGAAAACUCGAGGCUCAACCUCGAGACGUCGGUUGAAACCAUCUGGCUAGAGUCCGGAAGAGGAGUGUGGAAUUCCCGGUGUAGCGGUGAAAUGCGCAGAUAUCGGGAAGAACACCCGUGGCGAAGGCGGCACUCGGGGACGGUACUGACGCUGAGACGCGAAAGCGUGGGGAGCGAACAGG